rnacentral:rRNA from 1 species
AUUGAACGCUGGCGGCAUGCCUUACACAUGCAAGUCGAACGGUAACAGGUCUUCGGAUGCUGACGAGUGGCGAACGGGUGAGUAAUACAUCGGAACGUGCCCGAGAGUGGGGGAUAACGAAGCGAAAGCUUUGCUAAUACCGCAUACGAUCUCAGGAUGAAAGCAGGGGACCGCAAGGCCUUGCGCUCACGGAGCGGCCGAUGGCAGAGUAGGUGGUUGGUGGGAUAAAAGCUUACCAAGCCGACGAGCUGUAGCUGGUCUGAGAGGACGACCAGCCACACUGGGACUGAGACACGGCCCAGACUCCUACGGGAGGCAGCAGUGGGGAAUUUUGGACAAUGGGCGCAAGCCUGAUCCAGCCAUGCCGCGUGCAGGAUGAAGGCCUUCGGGUUGUAAACUGCUUUUGUACGGAACGAAAAGACUCUGGUUAAUACCUGGGGUCCAUGACGGUACCGUAAGAAUAAGCACCGGCUAACUACGUGCCAGCCGCCGCGGUAAGAC